CUACGAAAACGGAAUAACCAUGCACCAUGUGGGUGUGCGCACCGCCUCCAAGAAACUGCUCAUAUCAGCACCCGCUCGGAUGCUUUAUCUCUGAACCUACCUCAAGUCAGCAGAGGAUGUUCCACUACAGAAAGUAAAUUCGUCGUCCCAAAUCCUCACAAGGAAACUGGACAAAAGAGAGAUCAUUGGUUUCCAAGCUACCCACACCAAGUCGUAAGAAGCUCAAGAGUCGCCUAUCCACCACCAAAGUUUACCAGGCGGACAAAUGCAAGCCUUAUACUGAAAAGCAGUGAUAGUGUACGGCAUGUUGAAGCAGUACGAAAUUGGGUCCACAAAUUAUUGCUUCUUGCUUCAUGAAUUACUCAGUUUAGAGGAAAUGUGCUGGCUUCAAAUUUCUUGGAUAGUGCAUGUGAUGGGGUGCACAUACUGUACUUUAAUCUACGUGUGAAACUUUGCAUAGAGUAUCACAUGUAACUUGGUAGCAAGUGGGCCAGUAGUAGUGUAUAUUUAGCAGCACUUGUUUUUCCCAGUGAAUAUAGUUUGCUGCAAUUGUGGAGGCUGUUGGAAAGCAAUGGCAGGGAAAGCUACAGUAGUGCUGAAACAAAGAGUUAUGUACGUGCACCGAUUGCUUGUAGGGAGGGACAUUGUGAAGGUUCUAAAAUAGAAAACUGUGUGCAAACACUCGUGCCUUCAUUAAACAAGGCAUUUCGUGUAGUGGUCACCUGGAGAAUAGUUUCCGGGUCGCUACUCUGGAAUAACGUUUGAUGAUGGGAGUAGGAGAAUAGAAGAAUGUGCAUAAGGACAUUUUGGGCAGUGUUCUAUCAAACAGGCUGUUGAAUUUGUAAAGCGUUUGAAAAUUUAGUCUUUA